rnacentral:rRNA from 1 species
GACGAACGCUGGCGGCGUGCUUAACACAUGCAAGUCGAACGGAAAGGCCCUGCUUUUGUGGGGUGCUCGAGUGGCGAACGGGUGAGUAACACGUGAGUAACCUGCCCUUGACUUUGGGAUAACUUCAGGAAACUGGGGCUAAUACCGGAUAGGAGCUCCUGCUGCAUGUUGGGGGUUGGAAAGUUUCGGCGGUUGGGGAUGGACUCGCGGCUUAUCAGCUUGUUGGUGGGGUAGUGGCUUACCAAGGCUUUGACGGGUAGCCGGCCUGAGAGGGUGACCGGCCACAUUGGGACUGAGAUACGGCGCAGACUCCUACGGGAGGCAGCAGUGGGGAAUAGUGCACAAUGGGCGGAAGCCUGAUGCAGCAACGCCGCGUGCGGGAUGACGGCCUUCGGGUUGUAAACCGCUUUCGCCUGUGACGAAGCGUGAGUGACGGUAAUGGGUAAAGAAGCACCGGCUAACUAUGUG